rnacentral:rRNA from 1 species
UGCGCAGGCGGCCAAGUGUGUGAGGCGUGAAAGCCCGAUGCUCAACAUCGGAAUUGCACCUCAAACUACAUGGCUAGAGCAUUGGAGAGGGUAGCGGAAUUCACGGUGUAGCAGUGAAAUGCGUAGAUAUCGUGAGGAACACCAGAGGCGAAGGCGGCUACCUGGACAAUUGCUGACGCUCAGGCACGAAAGCGUGGGGAGCAAACA